rnacentral:rRNA from 1 species
CCUACGGGUGGCUGCAGUGAGGAAUAUUGGUCAAUGGGCUUAAGCCUGAACCAGCCAAGUCGCGUGAGGGAUGAAGGUCCUAUGGAUCGUAAACCUCUUUUGUCAGGGAACAAAGUGCGGGACGUGUCCCGUUUUGUAUGUACCUUAUGAAAAAGGAUCGGCUAACUCCGUGCCAGCAGCCGCGGUAAUACGGGGGAUACGAGCGUUAUCCGGGUUUAUUGGGUUUAAAGGGUGCGUAGGCGGCCUUUUAAGUCAGCGGUGAAAGUCUGGGGCUCAACCCUCGAAUUGCCGUUGAAACUGGGAGGCUUGAGUAUGUUUGAGGCAGGCGGAAUGCGUGGUGUAGCGGUGAAAUGCAUAGAUAUCACGCAGAACCCCGAUUGCGAAGGCAGCAUGCC